rnacentral:rRNA from 1 species
CAGCAGUCGCCGCGGUAAUACGUAGGGCGCAAGCGUUGUCCGGAAUUAUUGGGCGUAAAGAGCUCGUAGGCGGUCUGUCGCGUCUGGUGUGAAAUCCCGAGGCUCAACCUCGGGCUUGCAUCGGGUACGGGCAGACUAGAGUGCGGUAGGGGAGACUGGAAUUCCUGGUGUAGCGGUGGAAUGCGCAGAUAUCAGGAGGAACACCGAUGGCGAAGGCAGGUCUCUGGGCCGCAACUGACGCUGAGGAGCGAAAGCAUGGGGAGCGAACAGGAUUAGAUACCCGCGUAGUCCCUGUCUCUUAUAC